AAAUAACGAAAAUGCAUUAUAAAUGAAUAAUUUAUCAAAUUUAAUAAGAAAUUUCGACAAAAAUAAACACGUAAUCGCUGACGUUGCUCUAAACCGAUCACAAACGAAAAGACGAAGGCAGUUAUCCAUCUAUCGGAGGGAAAUGUAAACAAAGAAUGGCCGAAAAAUCCAGAGAAGGGCAUAGGAUAGUAUUCAUGGGCUCAAACAAACAGCCCAAUUACAUCAUAGAUACGUUCGAUGUUCCUACGGCAUCCGAACUUAAAGAAGGGCAAAUAUUGGUUAAAAUCCUUCUGGCUACCAUAUGCCCCAACGACCUGUUAACUAUAAUAGGUAAAGGGGAGGACACUACACCAUGUCUCUUAGGUCACGAGGGUGUAGCUCAGGUCAUCUGCAGCAAACGUGAUGCUGCCGAGUGUAAAUUAUCACCCGGAGAUAGAGUGGUGUUUACUGCAACCGAAUUUUGCCCGAAGUGCAAGAUGACAUCGUGCCAUCAUUACGCGAAGUAUGGUAAAGCUCCCAUCAACCGCUGUGGUUCCAAUGGUACUUUCUCUACUCAUUUGAUACUCGAAGGUGAUAGAGAUGUGAUCAGGAUAUCGCCUACGUUACCCGACCGCUUGGUCGCGUCAGCUAAUUGCGCGCUUGCAACCAUUAUAGGAGCCGUGCAACCAGUAAUACCAGCUAAAAAGGAUGCCGUUGCGGUUAUACAGGGAGCAGGAUUGUUCGGUAUAUAUUCUUGUGCAGCUCUUUACCGUGGCGGCUACAAAGUUUAUUGCCUGGACGUGAAGGAAGAACGACUCAAACUGGUUCCUAAAUUCGGCGGCAUACCCAUCCUAACAAAAGACAAUCAAACGGGAGAUUGGUACAAAGAAGAUUCUGUAGAUGUUGUUAUCGAAGUCUGUGGUGAUAAAGAAGUCUUCCAAACGGCUUUGAACCUCUUGAGACCAGGCGGCGUAUACAUCCUCAUAGGUCUUUCAGGAAAAGAGGCAGAGUUAUCUCUUCCAGUGGAUAUCUUAAUCAAGAAGUGCCUUACAGUUAGAGGAUGCCAGGGCUAUACAUCAUCCGAUCUGCGACAGGCUAUUGAGUUCCUGGAGCUGACUAGGGAUCAGCAUCCUUACGAGGAAUUGUUAAGUGGUAACUUCAGCAUACAAGAUUUUCAUUAUGCCAUAUCUGCAGCCAAAUCGCAACUCUUUCAUCGCGUAGCUCUAUCUCCUUCUAUGUCGCGCCUUCGUUAUUAACUCUAUUUUUUCGUAACAAAUAAUAAAUAAAUCAGUGUUCUGCUAUUUUUAUUAUCACGUCAUCAGACAAUAAAAAUCCUCAACAAUAGUUCACAGCAAUGGUUCUUUCUCGAUUUACUAAGAUAUACAAUUGCGUGAAAAUCAAUUUUAAGUUAGUGAAUUAUCACAUAGAUUUCUCACUUAAUGAUUUAAAUAUCUUUACCUUUAUUUUCGAAUAUGCCGAAUACUACACAGGAAUAUCUCGAGUCAUGUGGUUCUUAAGUACGUAGUCAUUCUUUAAGAAUUAUCUUAUCGAGUUUAUCCUACAUCUUUAAUUAUUGUUUAGUCUUUUAUGUACUUCUCGUAAUGAGUUUCAUAAUGGAAUAUACAGGAGAAUUAACUUGCACUGCUGCAAUGUGUGUGUAUCCCGCUUUUAUGUCGUGAGUUCUCUGUUUUUAAAUAUUUUUUGUCACUGUAUUUUGAAAUCCUAAAAAUCUUGCCUCUCACAGACUUUACGCUGUCGAAUAUGAAGAAAUCGAAGAACAUUCUAGACUUCUAGUAUUCUGGAUAAUUUUCGCAAUUUUUGUUCUUCUAGAGCAUGCAAUACGGAAUAUUCUUAAUAAAUUAAUAUAUUAUUGGUGUCUUAAAGUAAGUCGCUAUCACAUUUAUUAUUAUAUCGGUAUCGAGCUGUACUAAAUGGUAACUUUUCUUGAAGUUUCUUCUCUUUUCAUGGCUGUACUCUUCGUGGUUAAAUUCAUCCUCCAGAUACUUAUAUUAUAACAUAAUUCGUCCCUUUUAUCGGAAAUCUAUAGGAAAUCAGAAAAAGGUGGUUGACAGCAAGAUCAAGGCAUCCAUUUUCGUACGAAGAUCUACCCAGAUGAACUUAUUCAAAACAAGGAAAUCGUUUAAAAUAACGAUGAAAAAUAUUUCGCGCAAUAAAUCUGAAGCUACGACAGCUCCAAAAUUUGUGGAUGAAGAUGAAAGUUACUAAAAAGUCUGAAGAAACUUUUUUCCCUACUUAUAAAUGCACUGAAGGUACGAAUAAUGGUUCCAAUAAACAAAAUUUUGAUUUAAAUUAAAAGUAUGUCGAUAAAUUUCGUUUUAAAGUAAAUUUUCAAGAGUAUUUUGAAUGAAUAAAUUUAUAUUUAGUGCUUUUUAACUUCAUUUUUUAGUUAAGAGAACGUGUAUUGUAUCUAUUUUUAUUUAAUUUAAUAAUUGUUACUACUAAUGAAGUCAUUUUAUCGCUGGAAAUUAU